UACGUAGGGUGCAAGCGUUAAUCGGAAUUACUGGGCGUAAAGCGUGCGCAGGCGGUGAUGUAAGACAGAUGUGAAGUCCCCGGGCUCAACCUGGGACCUGCAUUUGUGACUGCAUCGCUAGAGUACGGUAGAGGGGGAUGGAAUUCCGCGUGUAGCAGUGAAAUGCGUAGAUAUGCGGAGGAACACCGAUGGCGAAGGCAAUCCCCUGGACCUGUACUGACGCUCAUGCACGAAAGCGUGGGGAGCAAACAGG
rnacentral:rRNA from 1 species